UUCAUCGCAAGAUCAUAAUAAGGUCUUCCUUGGAUAUGUAAUGCUAUGUAUCUGGUGGGUAUAGGGAUUCAGAAAAGAACUGUAUAGAAGGAACAGUUCAUCAAAAAAUGAAAAUCUGCUGAAAAUUUACUCACUCUCUGGCCAUCCAACAGUUUGUUCAUCAGAACAGAUUUGGAGAAAUUUAGCAUUACAUCACUCAGUGAAUGGGUGCAGCUUUUCAUUUCACAAGACAUCAGUUAAUUGACUCUAGUCGUGUGGAUUACUUGUGGAUUAUUGUGAUGUUUUUAUUAGCUGUCUGAACUCUUAUUCAAACGGCACCCAUUCAGUGCAGAGGAUUCAUUGGUGAGCAAAUUAUGUAAUGCCAAAUUUCUCCAAACUCAACUACAUCUUGGAUGGCCUGAGGUGUCUGUCAACCAGAGCAGCAGUGCCCAGUUUAUCCCCUGCCAGCAGAGAUCUGAAACCUUAACUUCCAGGCCUGGGUCUCCCAUAAUGCAGUAUGCUGUUCACUCCAGCAAUGGCACUUACAUUGUGUCUGAAAAAAAGGGCCAAGGUAAUGACGCCACAAUUUGAUUCAUUUGGAUUAUAUUCUCAUUUGAUAGUGUAUAAUACCAUAUAAAAGUUAAAUAAACAUUAAACAAACACAUAGAUGUAAAAAUAA
ensembl:lncRNA